UACGUAGGAUGCGAGCGUUGUCCGGAUUCACUGGGUGUAAAGGGAGCGCAGGCGGGUCGGUAAGUCAUUGGUGAAAUACUCGAGCUUAACUCGGGAGCUGCCACUGAUACUGCUGAUCUUGAGUGCAGAAGAGGUUGAUAGAAUUCUAGGUGUAGCGGUGAAAUGCGUAGAUAUCUAGAAGAAUACCGAUGGCGAAGGCAGUCAACUGGUCUGCUACUGACGCUCAUGCUCGAAAGCGUGGGGAUCAAACAGG
rnacentral:rRNA from 1 species